rnacentral:rRNA from 1 species
UUCUAUUUGUCAUUAUAAAUAGUUUAUCCUGCUCAAUGAUAUAUUUAUAAAUAGCCGCAAUUUCUUUGUGCUAAGGUAGCAUAAUAAUUAGCUUUUUAAUUAAAAGAUAGAAUGAAAGGACAAACGUCUUAACAAUUUUUCCUAAUUUAUAUAAUAAAAUUAACUAAAAAGUAAAAAAACUUUUAUAUAAAAGAAGGACAAUAAGACCCUAUAGAACUUUAAUUAUUAUUUUUACUGGGGCAGUAAAAAAUCAUAUCUUUUAAAUAAAUACUUAUGAAGACCUAAUAUAAUUAAUUAUUAAAACAAGCUACCUUAGGGAUAACAGCGUUAUAAUACUUUACAGCUCCUAUUUAAAGUAAAUUUUACGACCUCGAUGUUGAAUAAUUUAACUUCAUUAAGCAAAAUCAAUCAAAGUAAGUCUGUUCGACUUUUAAAAAAUUACA